rnacentral:rRNA from 1 species
GAAGUGCGCCGUCCCACUUUCGUUGGGAUCUCGGGAGUAGUAAGGAAGGUAGGUGAGGGGUUACGGAGGAGGAGUAGGGGUCGGCCGCCGAGCUGGAGAGCACGGGAGCGGCUGUAGUUGUAGAGGACGUGAGUGUGCGGUCGGCGGCUAGAGGGCGCGGGAGUGGGCGGUCGUCGGCUUCAGCGAGAGGGGGCGUCCCCCGAGCAGGAAGGCACCACGAGUCGGUGGCAGGCCAAACCUCCCCCUUAUCCUCUGGGGGUUGCUUUUGCUCGCACGAUCGCCACCUGGGUUCCUACGCGCCACUAACACGGUCCAGGUACGAGGUCAAGAAGACAACCCACUCGAAGAAGUGGGAAGAACAGUUCCUCUACAAGUACAGAUCCAUCCAAGGAUGUUUACCCUAAGGAAAACAAAGAAAGUCAGCUGGUCUACGAGUCUAGAUCGAUCCGAAAGUACAUCUUUAAAACAACAGAAAAAUUCAAACAACCCAUGGAGUCGAUUCAAAGGCGUUUCACCUAAAAACAAACAAUGACGAGUUCUCUACGAGAGCCUAGAUCGAUACAAGGACUUUCAAAAAAACAACCGAAAGAAUCAAACAAACCAUGGAACUAGAAAGGAGCAGCUCUUCCCCUAUAUAAACAGGACCUCGAGGUAAAGAGAAAUACCUCCUCAGAAAACAAGGAAACGAACUAAACCGCGGACCGCACCCGUAGACAAAGUUCUCCCCUGCUGUAUGUUAGGUACGUUCACACGAAUCAACAACAUACAUACCUUCGACGUCGUAGAACGGUUAAUCAGGGGUGAUUUUAAUUAAAUGGAGAGGUAGAAAAACAGAGCACCUAUAGCUACGCUCAUGACAUCCAUUUAUUUACAAGAUACCCUUUUGUACGACUAAGUCUUGGUAUCGUUUACCUUGACACGAAACAUUCAUUGACCAUGUCUGCGAUAAAUCUUGGUAUCGUUUUGUUGAUAUGUUAAUUUUAUAGGUACUGAUUAAACGUUCCAUGUCGUCGCGCCUUCGUCGUUGUCAGUACAAGAGUUCGAAACUAAAACAUAUAUCUCGAUUGCUAGGUACGGGUUAUACUUUUUUAUAGUAAAGACGAACCAGAAAACAGGAACCUGGGAAGUUCUACCGGUAGGGGAUGAGGUAGUCUCAGGGAACGAUAUUUUUUAGUCUUCAAAAGUCUAAAUCAACAGUUUACGAAUUAAUUCAACUGUUUCCAUACAACAGUAAAAAUAAACUGGUAAGACUUAGACAUGUCUAUAGUGAAGACUUACGUGUACAGUAGAAAGUCCAAGAAGUCUCAUGUUAUAUACUCCAACUGGAACUAACGUAAGAAGUUUCACAAGUAUAAAUAAAUGUUCUUGAACCUUACCUUCUCUAUACCUCCUCCCGACCUCGACUAUUGUUCGGUAAUUCUUACCAGUUUUAACACGAUGUACUUGAACAUUUCGAUGCUCCGUGUCGUUAUUUUCCAGUGGAAAGUUACCAAGGAUAUCUGAGACUCGUAUGUAGCUAGAAUUAGAGGUCUGGGAACGUCGUCGAUCCUACAAUUGGGGUAGACCUGGAUACCCAGUUUGAGUGAGCCCACUACGACGUAGCUUGUGAGGUUUAGGUAGUCAAGUAAGUUGCCUACGUGUUAACUUCCAAUGAGGUUAAGGAAAGAGGAAGAUAGUUACAGCACGAACACCCAUUAAAAAAAAAAUGAACCUCAAGUACCAUGACAUACGUAAAUCUAAUAAACGCAAAACGGUUAGUUUUCAAGACUGAAUUUGACAUGAUGGUAACGAUAGUACCGUAACACGUACCUACUCGCGUUACGUGUGUGAGCAAGAAAACAAGAAUUUAUGGUGGUAUAAGGGGGUAGCAUCAAACGAUUCUACUAUGAUAAUUUAUUAAAUACGUACUCAUACAUAUUCUAUAAAACAAUGAACCUAAUAUUGAGAACGGACACAAACAACUAGGUUUGUUUCUACAAAUGAGUUCCAACCAAACAACUAUAAUAUGUAACUAAACUAGGUGAAAGGUGUAAAGGUAACAAGUUGGGAUUUGUCCGUAGGUACAGGAACCACGGUGAAGAAAUGUAAAUAUUCGUAACAUUAGGAAAAAGUCACCACUGACAUUUACUAAUAAACCGUGUCGCUCUACGAUUUACCUACCCGGCGCAAGUAACAAAAGAACCGGAUUGACAGCCAGAUUAACUCCACAUGAAGAUGUAUUACCACAACAGUAUGAAAGAUCUGAGGGAAUAGUAAGACCGAACCUUGGUCAGUCAAAGACGCGACAAUGUCAUAAAAAUAUAUUUACAUACUAGCCUCCUUUUGUAAGUUGGAAGAAAGUGAGAAAGUAGACACCGUAUACGUAUCCGCCCAUACUUCAGACUACUCUCCUCUCGGUUGAUAUACACACUGUAAUGUAUGUGAUUAUUGAGCCAUUCUACGAGUCAUCUUGUUGUUGAAAUUCUAUCAAGAUAUCACCGAUAAGUAGACUCCUGGAAAGAAGAAGAACGUUGAACCAUAAUAUACAAUUUCAACAGAAGUAAAGUCUAAUCUUCAUUAUUAUUUUAUUCAACAGAAACUUAGACGGACACUCGACGCCGGUAUGAACAAUUACUUGGGAAAUGGAUGAAUAGAACCAAUACAUCAUGAAAUAUCAGUAUAGGGUAUAGUCAUAGGAACAGAUUAAAUUCUAACGAAAAGAAUGAUACUUCUUCUAAACACGACGACAUCACAAGAAGUCAAAGACCACAAAUCUACGGUCAAGUAACAACUCUGUCAAGACGAAACAGGCAGAAGACCUUUUACGUCAUUCAUUUAAAACAAAAGACCUGUAAAAGCGUCUAGGAUAAGCGGUUUCCUUUUUAUUUGUCUAUCUCUCCAUAUUUAAGUUGUUUUUUGUAAAAAAUAAUUUUCCGAUAAGGUAAACAGUGGAUAACAUGAACGGGUGCUGAUUUUGUUAAUUAUGUACCAAAAGAAAAGUUUCGUACGUGCUUUAAUCAUCCGGAGACGCGUUGCCCAAAUCACGACGGUCCUCUAAUUCAUAUAAGUACUUCAACACGUUUCAAAUUUUAACCAACGUCAUAGAGUGUAAACAGUUUAGGAGUAUACAACGACCAUCAGUACGAAUACGGGUCUUAUAAUUCAUUCGAACACGAUACGACACUGAUUUAUUUCGUUACAAGUCUGAAUAGAAAACAAACGAGAUGAAUUUCACAAGUCCCAAAUGGGUCUCCCGUUAAUAUACAAAGGAUGACGGUAGAGGGUGCACUGCAGUUCUUUUAGGGACUACAAAUACAAAAUGAACCGGAUUUAAAACCAAAAGUUUAUCAAGACGGAGAGUUAAACUAUAAAGAUGAACGAAAACGAAUCAUUAUACUACAUGACAAAAGAUCGAGAUCCGGAUGAACGUAAGUUCCAAGUCAACUAACAAGAAGAAUUCCCACAAAAAAAUUAAUCACCGUAGUUGUACACCGUGAUUAAGGCAACACGUAACAUAACACUUAAAAGGUUCGUUGUGGUAAUACCAUUUAUCUCUACGAUUACUCUUAUUGUCUCUACGAUUCUCUGUUGGAAAACCCCUAUAUUUGUUGUACCGAAUACUCAGGCUUCUUUCGACAGAAAACCAAGAACUUCGGGACGUGAAAGGACCACCUCAUCUUCGUUUUAUUAAGUCUCUGAAAUUUCGAUGACGCGAAGUACAUGAAUCCUAAUUAAGAAUCAGAGCCAAACUUUAUGAGGGGUGAAGAAUGAUAAACUAACUAUGCAGACUGCCUGUAAAACAGUUCGUUUACUUGUCUUCCGUAUACAUAAUAAUGCUCACUUCGGUAGGUAUGUUCAAUUCUAUAAUUAUUAGGACAUACACCUUAAGCUCUAUAUCUCUUUACAAUAAUAAGAAGACGUUUAACC